CCUACGGGUGGCCGCAGUGAGGAAUAUUGGUCAAUGGGCGGAAGCCUGAACCAGCCAAGUAGCGUGCAGGCUGACUGCCCUACGGGUUGUAAACUGCUUUUAUACGGGAAUAAAGCGCCUUACGUGUAGGUUUUUGCAUGUACCGUAUGAAUAAGGAUCGGCUAAUUCCGUUCCAGCAGCCGCGUUAAUACGGAGGAUCCGAGCGUUAUCCGGAUUUAUUGGGUUUAAGGGGAUCGUAUGCGGCGUGUCAAGUGUGCUGUGAAAUUUUGUGGCUCAACCCGGAACUUGCAGUGCAUACUGGCAGGAUGGAGUACAGUGGAGGUAGGCGGAAUUCGUGGUGUAGCGGUGAAAUGCUUAGAUAUGACGAAGAACCCCGAUUGCGAAGGCAGCUUACUGAAGUGGAACUGACACUGAUGCUCGAAAGUGUGGGUAUCAAACAGGAUUAGAUACCCCGGUAGUC
rnacentral:rRNA from 1 species